ACCCAGGAGCAUCUCCGCUGGCUCCGAUCGCUUUUAAACUACUGGAAAAAAUACCAAACCCAUCGGAGUAAUCUCUCGUCUCCUUGCAAUAUCAGCGCGCUGUCUUCUGCUACACUGUGUGCAGGACACGUCGCGCUAGUUUUAGUUUCGGUUUCUAAUCCUGUUUACUCAGUUUUACCUUGUACCUUUUAGCCUUGUAGCCGUCCUUCUGCAAUCAUUUCGUGUCGUCCAGUUGUGAGACGCAGCUCCACCGAAGACAAAUAGCGAGUGCGUGGUUGGAUUUUAGUUUCGGUUUCUGACUCUGUCGUCUUCUGCGGAGGAAAGUCGUCUGCAACCAACAGUUGGUUGGUCGUCUGCUUUCACGAAGCGAAAAGGUGCUGCGUUCUUUUCGGUGUGCGGUGCUGGAAAGUGUAUUUUUUUUUUGUGGAUAACAAGAAGGUGAUUGUGCAGUGAGGAAGACAAGAUAUUGUGUGUGAAAAAUCAUUCGACUGUGGAAAGCGACUUUGAGCAUUUCGCACCUGGGAAGAAUACGAGACCCUGGUGACGGUACAGGGAUAAGUGGAAGCAACGACAGAGGUGCGGUGCGGCGCCGGUGGUGUGGUGACUGAAGGUGAUCACGAAGAGGAGGAGGAGGAGGUGACCGAGUAGCAGAGUGUGUGUGUGAGAGAGAGAGAGCCACACAAGUGGGAUUUUUGUGGCAUGAGGCAAAAGGCCUCCUCCUCUGGGGAGGCCCAAUAAGGUCGACACCAUAUUCCCACGCACUCCCAGCUCCCCGCAUGU